UCCCAAGGAGGAAAAGUGGCGGCGGGGUGCGGGCCCUGGGUCAAUAUUGGCUUUCUGGUUAACGAGUAACGGGGCCGAGCGAGCACGGCCGCGGGUGUAAAAGCUCAGCUUUGGCAGAGCCGAGAUUUGAACCCAGCCGGCGCCGUGCCAGGGCUGGCACGAGAGGCACGGGGCAAAGGGGAGGGAUUUUUCUGGGGGAAAACACCUGGUUUUGUGCAUUGUGCUGUCCUGGAGGCUGUACCCACGGCACAUUUUGGGCUCCAGCGGCUGGCGGCAGUAACUGGACGUGCAGGACACGAGGGAUGGGGGUCACCCAGCCAGAUUUAUCUCGGGUUUAGCUCCACAUUGAAAGGCUUUGAGCCUUUAAAUGGCAGCGAUGCCAGCCCUGGAUUUCCUUGGAGCUCCAUGGCUGGCACUAAUUGCUGUGUUAAUGACUGCCGUCGCCCUCCCUUGGUCUCGUGCAGGGCUCCCCAAAUGCCACGCUCACUGGCAACACUGGGUUUGGGGUUUUUUUUCAGCCCUGCUUAUUUAUCAGCCGGCGUUGCCUUCCCAGCCACCCGGCUUGAACGUUUCUGUUCCAGUUGGCAAAGGUUUUAUGGAGCGUGGCGAGCAGGAAGCGCCGCCACGCACCGGCAGCAGGGGCAGGGGCUGAGCUCGGGCGCUCGGCUCCUCUUCGGGACGGCCAAAACUCCUCGCCCACGAGCGAGCGCGGCCGCUGCCACCUCCCCAAAAAAAAAAAAAAAGACAUUUAAAAAAAAAAAAAAAAAAAAAAAAAAAAAUAAACCCUUGC
rnacentral:lncRNA from 1 species